rnacentral:rRNA from 1 species
GACGAACCGUCCAAACGUUAUUCGGAAUCACUGGGCUUAAAGGGUGCGUAGGCGGCGCGACAAGUUGGGUGUGAAAUACCUCGGCUCAACCGAGGAACUGCGCCCAAAACUGUCGUGCUCGAGGGAGAUAGAGGUGAGCGGAACUUAGGGUGGAUCUGUGAAAUGCGUUGAUAUCCUAAGGAACACCGGUGGCGAAAUCGGCUCACUGGAUCUCUUCUGACGCUGAGGCACGAAAGCUAGGGUAGCGAACGGG